rnacentral:lncRNA from 1 species
CUAAUCUUUGCUCCAGCUUGCUGUGAAACUCCUCUUUGACUGACGAUACAUCAAUGUGUGCAAGCAACGGAAGCACGUAAAGCGAGAUGACCCAUUUGCCAGAACUGGAUGUUUCUUGGAGGUGAAAGAACCCAUGGUGUUUUUCGAAAAGUGUUCGUGAGUUAUCUCCAGCACACUGAAAUUACAAAUUUAUUUGUAGACUUACUGCUGGGAAGAUAAUGGCAAGCCAUCCAGCAUAACCCUUGCCGAUAAACUGCUUCAGCAGUAAAGAGUAUGGUGCAUUGAAGAUGAUGAUGAUAAUGGUUAAACUUAUUGAAGAUAUAGUGUUCGUAUAGACUUCUAAUGUAAUCAACUGUUGUACACAGCUCCUUCCCAAUUCCAUACCCAGGCGAUACAUGGCGUCAUCACUGGACACCAAAGGAAGGGAGAACUCAGUUUUUACUCUGUUUUCUUGUUUGUCCGGGCGAUAUCUCAGCCAUCCUUUGAGCUCGGAAGCUGAAGUUUGAGAACAAAUAUGAAGAUGUGCUUUGACAAAAAAAAGGUAUUGAGUGAGGCUGCUCGAAGAGCGAAACAAAAGGCAAAGACACCAACGCAACAUAAAUUGAGCAGUCGGGAACAGGUGGACAAGGGACAGCUAAAUAAGAACAGACAUUAGACAGACGAAAGACACCAAAGUUUUUUUUUCAAUAUAUGAUUAUAUAUAAUUAGCAAGGAAAUUUUUCUGACUAAUUAUACACAUCAAUAUAUUCAAAAGUAAAGUGUUCUUGGACUAUGAGUAAUCCCACUCUGGGAACUUGUUGAACAUCCGGUGUAAUGUAAGAAUGCAUGAAAAGAGCAUUACAUAACUUCGCUCAUACAAAAACGUGGACUACUAAAAUAUUCCGCAUUACAUUCAGUACUUUUAACGAUAUAUUACAGGAAGUACUUUAACUUUAGGAGAAACUUAAAUGUGGUUUAAUUUCGAGUUUUAUUUCGAACUGUUCAACUUAGAAAGAACUACAUUUCACAUUUGAUUAAGCCAAGACAAAAAGUAAUUCCAUUGAAGAAGUCACUCUUGUUUGCAUAAUGCUUCAGUGCCUGGACUAUUUUGAUAACAGAGAAUAAAGAUUUGUGAGUCUGCAAAAUAUGUUCAAUUAUGUCAGUCAGCGGAUGCUCCUUGGCAAGGAAACAGCAUUUCCGUGGCAUUUCUACCUCCA